rnacentral:rRNA from 1 species
GAUGAACGCUGGCGGCGUGCCUAAUACAUGCAGGUCGAGCGAACGGACGAGAAGCUUGCUUCUCUGAUGUUAGCAGCGGACGGGUGAGUAACACGUGGAUAACCUACCUAUAAGACUGGGAUAACUUCGGGAAACCGGAGCUAAUACCGGAUGAUAUUUUGAACCGCAUGGUUCAAAAGUGAAAGACGGUCUUGCUGUCACUUAUAGAUGGAUCCGCGCUGCAUUAGCUAGUUGGUAAGGUAACGGCUUACCAAGGCAACGAUGCAUAGCCGACCUGAGAGGGUGAUCGGCCACACUGGAACUGAGACACGGUCCAGACUCCUACGGGAGGCAGCAGUAGGGAAUCUUCCGCAAUGGGCGAAAGCCUGACGGAGCAACGCCGCGUGAGUGAUGAAGGUCUUCGGAUCGUAAAACUCUGUUAUUAGGGAAGAACAUAUGUGUAAGUAACUGUGCACAUCUUGACGGUACCUAAUCAGAAAGCCACGGCUAACUACGU